UACGUAGGGGGCAAGCGUUGUCCGGAAUCAUUGGGCGUAAAGCGCGUGUAGGCGGCUCGGUAAGUCUGCUGUGAAAGUCCAGGGCUCAACCCUGGGAUGCCGGUGGAUACUGUCGAGCUCGAGUCCGGAAGAGGCGAGUGGAAUUCCUGGUGUAGCGGUGAAAUGCGCAGAUAUCAGGAGGAACACCAGUGGCGAAAGCGGCUACCUGGCCCAUUCUUGACGCUGAGGCGCGAAAGCUAGGGGAGCAAACGGG
rnacentral:rRNA from 1 species